rnacentral:lncRNA from 1 species
CUAGCACAUUUGCUGUCGAUGUCCGUCCGGCAGUUGCUAAUGCAGCGCCAGGGUGCGGUGCCGAAGCCUAUGCGGGUGGCUACUUCCGGCUGGCUCCAAAAGCUUGUGUUGCCGCUGAGGAGGAAGCGGAGGACCGCCUUGUCUGCCAGUCACAAGGUACAGCAAAUGUGCACAAGCAACCAAAGCAUUACAGGAAGCAAGUAGAGGACAGGCCGUCACUGAUGAGUGAAUGGGGUUGACAGUGCUGCAUAUAUUAUAGGCAGGCGGCUGGGAGAGGUUAAGGCCUGACUUCUGCUCCCGGAGUGUCCGGGUUAAAUUCCGCCUGCCGACUCCUCGGGUGUUUGAGGAGUGUUGAGUUGGGAGGUGGGCCCCAUCUUGUGGCCGGUGUAGGACGUGAUUAUAUCAACUUGCGAGCUGACCAGGAACUAAGUUGAUGCACCGUUGAUCCGCUAGAUUUGGUUGGAUGCUGGUGGUGGGUUGCUGAACCCAACGAAUACACUCUGAAGUUGGAUGGGGUGAAUGGAUUAGGGUGCCCCUCUCGCAGGGGAGAUCAGGGAACUGCCUCGGGAAAGGGGGCCGCUGCUGAAGCUUAACCACCCUGUAACAACAUACAUACAUACAUACAUACAUACAUACAUACAUACAUACAUACAUACAUACAU